AACGUAGGGGGCGAGCGUUGCCCGGAUUCACUGGGCGUAAAGCGCGUGUAGGCGGUCCGUUAAGUCGGAUGUGAAAUCUCUGGGCUCAACCCAGAAAUCGCAUCCGAUACUGGCGGACUUGAGGAUGGUAGAGGUUGGUGGAAUUCCCGGUGUACCGGUGAAAUGCGCAGAUAUCAGGAGGAACACCAAUGGCGAAGGCAGCACUCUGGGACGUGACUGACGCUGAGACGCGAAAAGCGUGGGGAGCAAACAGG
rnacentral:rRNA from 1 species